rnacentral:rRNA from 1 species
CAAGAAUACCCGCUGAACUUAAGCAUAUCAUUAAGCGGAGGA